rnacentral:piRNA from 1 species
UGGGGAAACCUCAGCUGAGCCUAUAGU